GUAUCCUUCUCAUCCAAUCGCAUCCAUUCGCACAUCAUUCUGCCGACAUCUUCCGAAACCUAAUGGAUCCUUCAGUCGUUCAAUCUGUCGUUCCAUCCAAGCCUAUACAAUCCAAUGUUCCAUCAGGUACGAUUCCUUUCCUCACAAAACCUAAUCCAAAAAAUUAUGCUCUGUCUGAAAUGUCGCUGCCAAAAUCUUAUCAAGGUGAGUUUAUAUGAUUUCAAUUACAAAAUCAUCGUCACAAAUCUCUUGGAUUUUUCUUAAUUUAGAACUUUACAACGUUGAAUUUCACCGUACAUAACGCAAGAUGGAUUGAGAUUGCUUAGCGAACAAAACCCUAAUUCAGAGCUAUGGAAGGGUCCUUUACCUGAUGUUGGAAGGAAUCUAAUUUUGAUGUUGCUAAUUGGGGCUAUAAAGUGUAUAUAUAGGGGCGGUCUGGUCAUAAAACCCAAACUUGCAAGGCCUGGCAGGGUUCCCGUUACCACCUGCGUGUGGGAUUGUGACGGGAAGUCAGUUGCACGUGGUAUUGGUGAUGACUCUAUACAGAUAUGGAGUAUAUAGCCUGGGAGGGAAACCAGACAUUUAUGUAGCCAGUGACUAAAAGAAAUAAAUUACAGUUGUAUAUCAACACCAUAUUUGUCUUUUGAUGCAGGAAAUCAAGUGCUAUAGUUGAAGGUUAACAAGUAGGUUCCUCAUUCGACAAAGGAACAACAUGUUGGAAGAGUGCAGGAUAUUCAAGGAGCUCUACAAAUGAGAAAAAUGUACCUCCCAUCUAGAAGUGAGUCUAAUAUGUUGAUUAGGAUAAACUAUAUUAUAGGUUGCAUUGAAGUUUCAACACAAAAGCAACAAAGGAUGUAACAAUGAACCACCAUAUGAAUGGCAAGUUUACAAGUGAGCCUAUCAAAGCAACAGUGUUCAUGUGAAGAAGACUACCAACAGCGCUCAAGAAGAGUAACAGCCAAUGAAACAGCAUUAAUCAGUAGAUCUACAAUAGCGAGUCAAAAUCGAUUAAGCUGGCUCUGGUGUCCCUUUUUUAAUCAUAACGAAGCCAAAGAAUAUUGCAACUUGGUCGAUUAAACAAAGUUGUACGGAUCAAUGCGCUUAGUAGACGUGGUGAAGACAAGAACGAAUCAGAACCUAUGUGGUGCAGAAGAAGCCUGUGUGAAGUCGAGCAAUAACUAUGUGAACAACACCUAUUGAAUAUGUGUUAUAUUGGUUUGAGCCAAAAUCAAGAAUCCGAUAUGCGUGAAGAAAUUAAAUCCGUAUGAUAAGCGGUAACCUAAGUAAGUGGUCAUCUAUCCAAUCUUUUGAACUAAGGUAAUACUAUAUAUAAUUAACAAUUUUUUUUUGCAUAAAAUGAUUUAGGAUCUUUUUAUGCAUUUAAAGUAAAAUUCGAGUUGCUGUCAACCCAUUUUUCCAUACCAGUUAGGACAAUGAACUAAGGAGAACUUUGCAGUCACUUGCUUGUGGGAAAAUCUGCGUCCUUCAGAAGUCUUUGACAGGGAUAUAAAAUAUGGCUAUAGAAUGUCCUAAAACAAGCCAUGCCAGGUUCAAGCUGAUAAAAAUCCUAAUGACCCUCAAUCUAUCAAGAGAUGCAUUGAAGUAAUCAUUGUUGUGUGAAUAUGAAUACUUUUAGAGGAACAUAUGUAAUUAUACCUGUGUGUAGAUAAUCCUUGCUGUGAGUAUUUGUGGUGCAUUGAAAUCCUAUACAUGAUCCAUUUAGUAUUGUCUUUUCUUCAUUUGUAAAUUAUAAUUGUAAUUUAACUUUUUAUGUAAUUUCAUUUAUAUUUCGUUAA